UACGGAGGGGGCAAGCGUUAUUCGGAUUUACUGGGCGUAAAGGGUGCGUAGGCGGUUAUGCAAGUCUGGUGUGAAAUCUUCACCGCUCAACGGGAAGAGGCCGCUGGAAACUGCGUAACUUGAGUAUGGUAGAGGCAGACGGAAUUCCUGGUGUAGCGGUGGAAUGUGUAGAUAUCAGGAAGAACAUCCGUGGCGAAGGCGGUCUGCUGGGCCAUUACUGACGCUGAGGCACGAAAGCGUGGGGAGCGAACGGG
rnacentral:misc_RNA from 1 species